rnacentral:rRNA from 1 species
UACGGAGGGAGCUAGCGUUGUUCGGAAUUACUGGGCGUAAAGCGCACGUAGGCGGCUUUGUAAGUUAGAGGUGAAAGCCUGGGGCUCAACCCCAGAAUUGCCUUUAAGACUGCAUCGCUUGAAUCCAGGAGAGGUGAGUGGAAUUCCGAGUGUAGAGGUGAAAUUCGUAGAUAUUCGGAAGAACACCAGUGGCGAAGGCGGCUCACUGGACCGGCAUUGACGCUGAGGCGCGAAAGCGUGGGGAGCAAACAGG